GACGAACGCUGGCGGCGUGCUUAACACAUGCAAGUCGAACGGAAAGGCCCUGCUUUUGUGGGGUGCUCGAGUGGCGAACGGGUGAGUAACACGUGAGUAACCUGCCCUUGACUGUGGGAUAACUUCAGGAAACUGGGGCUAAUACCGGAUAGGAGCUCCUGCUGCAUGGUGGGGGUUGGAAAGUUUCGGCGGUUGGGGAUGGACUCGCGGCUUAUCAGCUUGUUGGUGGGGUAGUGGCUUACCAAGGCUUUGACGGGUAGCCGGCCUGAGAGGGUGACCGGCCACAUUGGGACUGCGGUACGGCCCAGACUCCUACGGGAGGCAGCAGUGGGGAAUAUUGCACAAUGGGCGGAAGCCUGAUGCAGCAACGCCGCGUGCGGGAUGACGGCCUUCGGGUUGUAAACCGCUUUCGACUGUGACGAAGCGUGAGUGACGGUAAUGGGUAAAGAAGCACCGGCUAACUACGUG
rnacentral:rRNA from 1 species